GACACAGUGGCUCAGUUGGUUAGAGCACCACUUUUAAUGAAGAGGUCCUUGGUUCAAUUCCAGGUCAUGUCA